rnacentral:rRNA from 1 species
UGGGGAAUUUUGCACAAUGGGGGAAACCCUGAUGCAGCGACGCCGCGUGAUUUAGAAGGCCUUCGGGUUGUAAAAAUCUUUUCUAUGGGAAGAAAAUGACAGUACCAUAGGAAUAAGGACCGGCUAAUUACGUGCCAGCAGCCGCGGUAAUACGUAAGGUCCGAGCGUUGUCCGGAAUCAUUGGGCGUAAAGGGUACGUAGGCGGGUAAGCAAGUUAGAAGUGAAAUCCUAUAGCUCAACUAUAGUAAGCUUUUAAAACUGCUCAUCUUGAGGUAUGGAAGGGAAAGUGGAAUUCCUAGUGUAGCAGUGAAAUGCGCAGAUAUUAGGAGGAAUACCGGUGGCGAAGGCGACUUUCUGGCCAUAACCUGACGCUGAGGUACGAAAGCGUGGGUAGCAAACAGG